UCUGCAGCUGUCAGUCCCAGUCAGCACCCAGCAUGGAAAUGAGGACCCCUGCUCAGCUCCUGGGGCUCUUGCUGCUCUGGCUCCCAGGUGCCUGGUGUGACAUCCAGAUGACCCAGUCUCCUUCGUCACUGUCUGUGUCUGUAGGUGAAAAAGCCACCAUCACUUGCAGGGCCAGUGAGAGCAUUGGGUACAGUUUAGCCUGGUACCAGCAGCCACCAGGGAAAGCCCCUAAACUCCUGAUCUAUGCUGCAGAUGAAUUGGAAUCUGGGGUUCCAUCGAGGUUCAGUGGCAGUGGAUCUGGGACAGAGUUCAUUCUCACCAUCAGCAGCCUGCAGCCUGAAGAUGCUGCUACGUAUUACUGUCAAAAGACUGGUAAUAGUCCUCCCACAGUGAUACAAGUCAUAACAAAAACCUCCCAGGGCAGAAAUAAGAGGCUGGGCUGCCCCAGCUGCUCCUCCUGCUGCCUCCACCUGCUCAGAAGGCUCACAGACACAGACAGCUUUUAA